UUUAAGGCCUUCCGCUGCAAAAAAUUUAAGUAGCACAGAAGCAUAAUCCAUCGAAUCUUCCUCUAUAACCAGCAAACUUUUCAUUGGAAUGCCGCCAGACAAAUAGUAGUCAAAAGAAGAACUCCCAGAGCUUGUAAUCCAUCUAGCAUCCUUUGAAGAUAGUCUAACGCCUGUCGGCAAGUUUGUUGGUGCUAUUUGAGGUGCUGCUUUCCUUUUGAACGACAUCAAUACUUAUUUCGAUUGGUGUACGUGGAAUAGCAAAUUGGAUGGAAAGGUUAACGCGACGCAAAUUUGCAGCACACAUUUAAGCAUCAUCAGUCAGAAAACAAAGAAAUUCAGCGUUGCGAUUGAGAAAAUAAAAAAUUGUUGACUAAAGUUAAUCAUUCAAUAAAAAUACCUUUUAGAUAAAUUUUG